rnacentral:lncRNA from 1 species
AAAAUGGCAAUGUUUUCAUUUUUCUUUUUCAAUUUGUCUCGUUCCGGUUCUAAGCAAUGCAUGAAUCAACAUUCAUGCAGAUGCGAUCAUUCUCCGGAUCUCAUUGAUAAAUGUUUUCAUUUUUCUUUUUCAAUUUGUCUCGUUCCGGUUCUAAGCAAUGCAUGAAUCAACAUUCAUGCAGAUGCGAUCAUUCUCCGGAUCUCAUUGAUAACAA